rnacentral:pre_miRNA from 1 species
GAGACACCCUUCUGGGGCAAGACUUGCUUCAGCGGGGCUUUGGUGCUCACUGAGUCUGCCCCCUGAGUGUGUCCUU